rnacentral:lncRNA from 1 species
AUAAGAGAAUAAAAGCAGGCUGCCCCCAAGCCAGCAGUAGCAAAGCUGUCCGUUUUGGUUUCUCACCGUGGAAGCUUUGUUCUUUUGGUCUUUUGUAAUAGGUCUUGCUGUUGCUCAGUGUUUGGGUCUACAUUACUUUUGGAGCUGUGGCACUCCGCGUGAAGGCUUGCAGCUUCACCCUUGAAGCCAGUGAGACCAUGAACCCACCAGGAGGAGUGAAGGCUGUCUUGUCUUAAGUAGUCCUACCGGCUGUAACGGUUGUUGUGAAAGUCUGUAUCCUCACUCGUGAGCCAGCAAGACCAUGAAUCAACUAGGAGGAAGAAACUCCGAACAUAUGCGAACAUCAGGAGGAACAAACUCUGGAUACGCUGCUUUUAAAAGUUGUAAUGCUCACUGAGCAGGUUUGCGGCUUCAUUCUUGAAGUCAGUGAGACCAAGAACCCACCAAUUCUGGACACAAAAUCUGUUUGCCUGUUUAGAGGCAUACUACGGGGUUACAUUAGAAGCCCACCGAGAUAAUCCAAUACAAUCUUCUGAUCUCAAAAUCCUUCACUUAAUGACAUCUUUGGCAACUUGAAAUAAUAAUCACAGGUGUCUGACUUUUAAGUACCAGCGUUGAGUUUGGCCCUCUGCUGUUUAUCAGGCAUAGCUGCCACAGAGAAACUCAUCAGCAUUCCAGUCUGCCUCAGUCUGGGCUGCAAGCCUCCAAAGCCAAGAUGGCCAAUGCUAACUCCCAGGAAGCAAGGUGAGAGAACUAAGUUGUGUGACUCCAAAAGAGCAGAAACCAGGAACUGGAGAAUGGAGGACCAAAGAUCAGAGAACAAACGAUGCUGGUCUGUUAUCACUAACAAUAAUUACCACUAACCUCUCUGGUAAGGAGACAACACCGAAACAAAACUGGACUGAGAAUAAGCUCAUAGCAAAGGAGGAAAAUCAAAAGUUUUUACCUCAUCAGCAGCAUCAAUGACGUGAAAUUGCCAGGCAUUUCACCUCUAUUACUUCAGUUAACUCUCACAAACAUUUGAUAAAGCAGAUCUUAUCCUCAUUCUGUGAAUUAGGAAACCGACCUGGAGACGGAGAAUAACUUGACUAGACCACAGGGAUCAAAUGCAUUUAAGCCUCAGUCUUCUGCCUCCAAACCCCAGCUAAAUGUUGCUGUAUUCAACAUAUAGUUAAAUAAUGCCUUACACAUGUACCUUUUGAAAACUGGGCCUUGCCUGCAAAAGAUAUUGCUUUCAAACAAAGUUAUAUUGUACUAUACUGGUGUAAAGUUUAUUUUGUGGUUUAAGACAGUAUCUA